GAGGAAACUGGUUGAUUCCGAUAACGAGUGAGAUCUCUGCCUCCCAGUAGCCCCUGGCUCGCAUUUGGUAGGGCUAGGUCCCGGGAGACCAGCCCGGUGUCGACCGGUGCAACAACACUGGCCAGUGCCGGGUUCCCGGGCCUCCCGAGAGCCCAGGGCCCUAUAGCUUCUCUGAGGUGCUGUGUUCGCUUCCAAGAGCAUGCAUGCUAGAGCCAACAGCAGGUCUGUGAUGCCCCCAGAUGUUCUGGGCCGCACGCGCACUACAUUGGAAUGGUGAAGGGGUUAGCAACUUGGCUAUCUGCCGAGACCUGGCCAGCAAUGGCUGGGAAAUCCUGGGAGCCGAUGGCCGUACUGGGGAUAGACGAUUGCAACUGUGUGCCUUGAACGUGGAAUGCCUAGUAGGCGUUGGUCAUCAGCCAACACCGAUUGUGUCCCUGCCAUUUGUACACACCGCCCGUCGUUGCUACCGAUGGUGAGAGGAUAGAGACAUCAGGAGGUGUGACCGAUGUAUUAUGCGUGCACGAUCACGCCGAAAUUGGCCAAUGUUCUCUGACUAGAGGAAGCAAAAGUGGUGGCNCNG
rnacentral:rRNA from 1 species